rnacentral:misc_RNA from 1 species
AAGUCGUAACAAGGUUUCCGUAGGGUAUGUUUUCUCUCCCACCCACCCUUGUGACUGUAUACUAACCUGAUAAUAGUGAACCUGCGGAAGGAUCAUUAAUGAGUAAGGGUCUCGAUUAAUACAGAGCCCGACCUCCAACCCUUUGUCUACCUUACCAAUGUUGCUUCGGCGAACCCGCUUCUAACGAGGCCGCCGGAGGGUCGUCAAACACCCUCUGGUCAGUGCUCGCCGGUGGCCGUAACCAAAACCUUGUUAAGAACCUGUCUGAGUAUAAACAAACAAAUAAGUAAAAACUUUCAACAACGGAUCUCUUGGUUCUG